AUGGGAAGUGUGUUACAAGCUGGUGUCCCAAGGAAGCUGACUCUGGCGAUUAGAGCACGAGCAUUUAAUGAGAAUUUCCCCUCAUCAAUUCCACAUGCCUUCCAGAUCUACUUGAAUAGUUUGUACACAGCUCCUUGUGAACAGCAGACAUCUGAUCAAGCAACUCUCCUCUUGUAUGCAUUGCUCCAUCAAAAUAGUAGUAUUAGAACAUACAUGUUGGCUUGCACAGAUGGAAAAUCUUGUUUUACCAAUUCUUGAGAUUCUGUAUCAUGUUGAAGAAAGGAAUUCUCACCAUGUGUAUAUGGCCGUUAUAAUACUGUUGAUCCUUACAGAAGAUGAUGGCUUCAACAGAUCCAUUCAUGAAGUGAUACUAAAGAAUAUUACUUGGUAUUCAGAACGAGUUUUAACUGAAAUCUCCCUUGGGAGUCUCCUGAUCCUGGUGGUAAUAAGAACCAUUCAGUACAACAUGACUAGGACAAGCGACAAGUACCUUCACACAAAUCGUUUGGCAGCUUUAGCAAAUAUGUCAGCACAGUUUUGUUCUCCCCAUCAGUAUGCUGCCCAGAGGAUCAUCAGUUUAUUUUCUUUGCUGUCUCAAAAACACAACAAAUUUCUGGAACAAGCCACACAGUCCUUCAGAGGUUCGCUGAGUUCUAACGAUGUUCCUCUACCAGAUUAUGCACAAGACCUAAAUGUCAUUGAAGAAGUGAUUCGAAUGAUUUUAGAGAUCAUCAACUCCUGCCUGACAAAUUCCCUUCACCACAACCCAAACUUGGUUUAUGCCCUGCUGUACAAACACGGUCUCUUUGAACAAUUUCGAACUCAUCCUUCAUUUCAGGAUAUAACGCAAAAUACUGAUCUGGUGAUCACCUUCUUUAGCUCAAGGUUGCUACAAGCUAGAGCUGAGCUGUCAGUGGAACGGGUCCUGGAAAUAAUUAAGCAAGGUGUCGUUGCACUGCCCAAAGACAGACUGAAGAAAUAUCCAGAACUGAAAUUCAAAUAUAUGGAGGAGAAGCCUGAGGCGUUUAUUAUCCCCUAUGUCUGGUCUCUUGUCUACAACUCAGCAGUCGGCUUGUACCGGAACCCUCAGGCCAUCCAGCUGUUCACCAUGGAUUCCGACUGAAGGCAGGACGCUCUGCGGCCCGACCCCUCCAGCCAAGCAGCCCUUCACGUCAGUUCAUUUCUGGGUAACAGAAGCAGACAGACAGAUUGCCUGCGGUACCUUCUGUUAAAGAGGAUGGCACAAGUGUGUUUUCCUCAGACACUUUGAUUUGGAGAACUGGUGCCAGUUGGCAGUAGAUCACUCAGCGUAGAUAGUAGUGCAAAAAGGGGAGGAAAUACACAAUAAUAAAUGUAAAAACCUGCUA